UGGGGAAUUUUGGACAAUGGGGGCAACCCUGAUCCAGCCAUUCCGCGUGAGUGAAGAAGGCCUUCGGGUUGUAAAGCUCUUUCACAAGAGAAGAAAUCUUACUAUCAAAUAAAUCGUAAGGAUGACGGUAUCUUGAGAAGAAGCACCGGCUAACUACGUGCCAGCAGCCGCGGUAAUACGUAGGGUGCGAGCGUUAAUCGGAAUUACUGGGCGUAAAGCGUGCGCAGGCGGUUUUAUAAGUCAGAUGUGAAAUCCCCGAGCUCAACUUGGGAACUGCGUUUGAAACUGUAAGACUAGAGUGUGUCAGAGGGGGGUAGAAUUCCAUGUGUAGCAGUGAAAUGCGUAGAUAUAUGGAGGAAUACCAAUGGCGAAGGCAGCCCCCUGGGAUAACACUGACGCUCAUGCACGAAAGCGUGGGGAGCAAACAGGAUUAGAUACCCUGGUAGUCCACGCCCUAAACGAUGUCUACUAGUUGUUGGUGGAGUAAAAUCCAUGAGUAACGCAGCUAACGCGUGAAGUAGACCGCCUGGGGAGUACGGUCGCAAGAUUA
rnacentral:rRNA from 1 species